CUAAUCUAAACGCGUAAUGUUCUUCUUCUCUGAAGAACACGCGAGCCAAACCCCAAAUUAGUCCCUUCUUUGGUUCCUGGUUCUGUUUCAGAAAAUAUAUAUAAAAAAAGUUUUCAUUAUCUUCUCUGAUUUCCCUCAAAGAAUGGAGAUGGGUUGAGCUGAGAUUGAGCUGGCUGCUCGAGUUCAAGUUCGUAGUUUUUACAUCCCGAUGCACUGUAACACUGGUGUUCUUGAGCUUUCAUCAUCGAAUUCACUUUUAUUGGAUUCAAAGAAGAAUUAAUCUAAGUUCGUUCUCAACUCAGGUUCAUUUCUUCUCCAACUCUUUAUUAAUUUGUGAUUCAGUGUUUGUGCGUGUUCAUAUCUCGGCAUGGUUGGUGUGAACCCUGAAAGCUAAUGUCUGUUCUCUUACUCUAUUUCUGAGCCUUGUUUGGCUUUGGUUCAGAUUUGUUAAGAUGUUUUGGUUUGUCAUUAAAGUGCACUGCGAUGGUCGAUCCCCUGCCCUUGAUUUGCUAGUCCAUCUCUUGCAAAUUCGUUGUUAGUUGAUAGGCUCUUUCUUUACCUCGCAAGGUUUUCGAAUUAUGUAGAAAUUAGUUUUUCUGGUCCUUUGAACUAAAUAAGGUCUCUGCUAAGGCUCCAUGAGUUUGGAACUCAUUAAUCCACUGCUUGAAUUGUUUGAGUUACGUCCUGAUUUUUCUUAAUCUCAUUUUGGCCCAUCUUAGUUGAUUCAUUGUUUAAUGAAGUAAGUUGCCAACCUUUCAUGUUACGUUUUCAUUUAAACACGGAAGCUGUUGUUUUGCAAUUGAGUAGCUGAAUCCGCUCGAAGUGUCUUUACUGAUUCUCUCUGGUUCUCAAACAGAAAUGUGCCUAAGUAUUAGGAUAGUCGUGACCAUGCCCGCGCCAAGUCAGAUUUUGUGCACGCUAUUUUGAUAUUUAUGAAUUGGAUUUACAAUUGACCUUAGAUGUUUGUGUUCCUUGCUGAGUUUAUCUCUAUGUGCUGCAUUUCAUAAGCUUGAUUGGAGAAAGAAGUAGAUUAAGACAUUGUCUUAUUACAUUUCCUUUAGAAAACUGCGUUAAUUAAAUUGUGUCCAUACGAACAGCGAGUGUUAUGAAGCUUGGAGCUGAAAUAUGUAUAUUUGAGUUGCUUGACUGAAAUUCUGAUUUCUUUGGAGUUAUAAAGUACUGUAGCACAAGAGGUAUUGUACAAAUUCGUGUUGUGAUCUAUUUUGAACUUGUUAAUCAUGAUACCGGAGAGAGCAGUAUUCUUGCACUAGAUUCUGAGCGUCUGUCCAUUUGGUGAAGCUUAAGUUGAUUAAUUUCUUUGUUUGAAAGUACCUGAUGUUUCGUGCUUCAUUUCUUUGAUUGAUUGAGCGAUGCGAUUCAUUUUGAUGAGUUCAAAAGAAUUAGCUCACUGCUUUUAGUCAUAUGAACUCGCUCUAUCGGCCUAACCAAAUGUAAACAUGAAGGAGUGAACAUUAACCAAUUGAUCCUUUGUGCCGGAGUUGUUAAUUCUAUUAGAUCUGAAAGUUUAAGCUUCUGAUUGUGUUCCUGUUGUUUGUGAACUUCAAAACGUCCCGAGCAUUUGAAUUGUAAAAUCAGUUGGAGUUGUGGUUUAAACUCGCGCGAGGUUCCACCUGGGCCUAGUUUGUUGCGUGGUUUUCUGGCUGUAAAUCUCAUUAUCUCAAAUGUCCGUCUCUUUUUCUGAUUAGCAUCGGUGCUUUUGUUGUAAUGCUUCACAGUAUACGUUGUUUGCAUGUCUGUUAUAUUUAUUGAAUGCGUCUGUGUUAAUGUUUCAAGAGGAUUUUGCUCGUUUCAGUGUCCUUUUCAUUUGAAGCUUCAUUUGAAUCAUAACAUGGUGGCAUAAUAUCCCGUUCUUAUCAUUUGGAUUAAGGCGUACUUGUUAAGGUCUUGUGAUAUAUAUUAAUUAGAAAGGAAAACUGUUUCUUUUAGUUCUUCUAUGGUAAAGUUAAAAAGUGUUUGAAUAUUGAAUGAAGUUUGCAUCAUUUUAUCUCUUUCAAUUAAUGCCAAAUUAUUAAAUUAGAAUGAAAAUUAUCAUGGGUACGGGUAUGGUUCUCGUGACGUAGCCGUGAUACUUAAUCCCUAAUUAGUGAAAUAUGAAUAUUCGUAGCUCAUUUAGUUGAAUGCUUUUCCUUUAGAGUUCGAUGUGUGCCAUUUAGCAAAUUCUAUGGCCCUCGCAAAGUACAAAUGCGUUCGAUUUAAUUAAAUUACUUUCUUAAACUAGGGUGCAUUGAUGCGACCACAAUCCAAAUCUCGAUGAAGUCGAAAUGUGUCGAUGACUACGGGUGCCUUGAUGGCGACGUGGUCGAACACGUGUUUUCACGACGUCGCAAGUCCUUUAAAAUAAAUAAUGGUAAAAGCAGUUUUGUAAAUAAAAGGCACAUAAGCUAGUAUGUAUUAAAAUCGGAUAAAAUCAAAUACAAUAGUUGAGCGACCGUCCUAGAACCACGGAACCCGGGAAUGCCUAACACCUUCUCCCGGGUUAACAGAAUUCCUUAUCCGGACUUCUGGUUCGCAGACUGUAACACAGUCAUAUCUUUCCUCGGUUCGGGAUUCAACCGGUGACUUGGGACACCAUUAAUCUCCCAAGUGGCGACUCUGAAUAAUUAAUAAAUUAAAUGUUGUUCAGAUUGUCCUUUAAGUGGAAAAACUCCUUUACGCCCCUUUGCGGAGGUGUAUAGCGAAAAAGGAGGUGUGACAAUCAUGAUAUCACAAUCAUUUACUAGCUAAGAAAAUCACCAUCAUCCUCUCCUUUAUAUUCCUACAUUUUGCAUAAGGCUAUUCUCUGCCUUUCGAGGUUAAGCUCUACCUCCAUUCUGCAUAAGGCUAUCUUUUGCAUUUCGGGACUAAGCUAUGUCUCCAUCUUGCAUCUUGCAUAAGGCUAUUAUCUGCCUUCCGAGGUUAAGAUCUACCUCCAUCCUGCAUAAGGAUAUCUUCUACCCUUCGAGACUAAGCUCUGUCUCCAUCUCGCAUUUUGCAUAAGGCUAUUCUCUCCCUUCUGAGGUUAAGCUCUACCUCUAUUUUGCAUAAGGCUAUCUUCUGCCUUUCAAGACUAAGCUAUGUCUCCAUCUCGCAUUUUGCAUAAGGAUGUUAUCUAGCUUCCGAGGUUAAGCUCUACCUCCAUCCUGCAUAAGCCUAUUUUCUGCCUUCCGAGGUUAAGCUCUACCUCCAUCCUGCAUAAGGCUAACUUCUGCCUUCCGAGACUAAGCUCUGUCUCCAUCCUGCAUUGCAUAAGGCUAUUCUCUGUCUUCAAGGUUAAGCCCUACCUCCUUUAUUUUGCAUUUGGCUGAAAUAUCGCCACCCUAUUUCAUUCGACUGAAAUAUCGCCGCCUUGCAUUUUAAAUUCCUGCUCCACUGAAAUAUCGCCACCCCUUGGAUUCAUUCGGCUGAAAUAUUGCCACCUUCGCAUGGGCUGAAAUAUCGCCACCUUAUUCAAAGGCGUCAUAGUUUGGAGGCACCAUUCGCAUAGCCCGAGAACACCAUUUCAUGGCCUGCGAAUCUUUACUUUAUGCUCUUCAUAGCCCAGUACGUCAUAGUCUGAUGACGCCAUCCUAAUCGUCCAAAGACAGCAUUCAUUGUCCAAUGGGAACUUGUAUCAUAUUUAAAUUAUGCAAUAUAUACGCACAUCGUUCAUUUGCAGGUACACCGGCUGGCACGACCACCUCAGCAGGAGCGGUCCCGCUCCAGUUCUCCGUAGCCCGUCCGAUAUUUGAACCCUUGACAAGUCUCAAACCCCGUUGCGUUUGCCUCUUCAAAAUUUUCAUUGGCAUAUCCCGCCAAUGGUUCCUGAACUACAUACAGCCCGAUUCCUGUAGAACCGAGGAUAUGUAGGCAGCUCAGAAGCCAGAGCACUGUCAAAAUUCUCUUACAAAUGUCAUUUCCGGUCAAAAUUGGCCAUCCUGUCUUUACCUGACAACUCUUUCAUCCUCCUCGGGUAAAGAGGGGCAGUUGUUGAUACCCAAUUUUUCCCAUGUAAUUCUAUGCUCAAAAUAUUUCCAAAAUAGCAUAUAGAUGCAUACAUAAGCAUCCACAAAAAGUUUGGUAUUUUUCUACAUUUUUUCAAGUACUUUUAAUGCCAAUUUACGAUUUAUUUUGUUCUAUAUAAUCCAAUAUUUAGUCUCAAAUCUUGCUAUUUUCAUAAGUAAUCUAUUUUAUUCUCAUAUUACAUAAAAAUAUAAUUUUUACAGAAUUUUACAAAGCCAUUAGGUAUUUUUAAAUUAAAACUGCAGUAAAUUGCAAUUUUAGCCUAUUUCUCAAUUUAAUAAGUAUUUCAAGUACAAAAUUCGUUCCUAAUUUUUUUAAUUAACUCCUAGACAUAUUUUAUUAACUCAGUACUUUCACUGGAUUUUUAUAGGAUUGUUUACUAUUUUUAUAAAAUUAAAAUUGGGAAAGAUGGCUAUUUAAAUUGUAGCCCUUAAUCUUUCAAUUUUAGCCCAAAUUGGAACCCAAAUCAAUCCCAUUUAAAACCCCAAUUGCCUGAUCCAAAUUCCAAAAUCACCCGACCCAAACCCACCUAAAUCUAACCCGCCUGCUCCCUUUUCUAAUCUUGGCCGUUGAUCUCACAGAUCAACGGCCCACAAUCCACUUACCAAAAAUUAAAUCCCAAAUAACCCCCAAGCCCUAAUCAGUCUUCCAAACCCGCCGCCUUUGAAUCCCUAAAGCUCUCAAAGCCCUCUCAAACCCUAAAUCAUCUCCGGCUAUCUAACCGGCGUCCAUGGUCGUCCAAGACUUGAAACUUCUUUAUUCGUUCACUCCUCACCUCUCCGGGCCAUGGGUUCGAAGAUCGGAAGCCCACUUCGAAGCUAAUCAGACCAGAGGUCCUCUAAUGAGGUUUCGCAGCCGUAUCUGGCCUUUUCUCCGGCAAGCCUUAAAGCCCUGGGCCCUUUGCUGACUCUGACGAGUCCAUUCCAGGCUUUUCUCACUACUUCGAAACUUUUCUAUGCAAACUCCAAUGUUCGAGGUUCAUCUCUGUGUUCAUCUUUAAGAUUCUCUCUAAAAUCCUAGUGAUUUUCUAAAGAUUUACAAAAUAUUUCUCAUCUCUUCUUCGCCUAUUCAUUUUUUCAAACUGAUCGUCUUUUAAAACCUAGGGUUUCUAUGACUUUCCAUGAUUUCUCUGAUUUUAUUACUUUAUUUGCUGUUGUGUGUUCUACUCUAUGUCUUUGCUAUGAUUUUAAAGCAUUUUUCUACCAAUUACUUUAUUUGCUGAUGUGUGUUCUUCUCUAUGUCGUUGAUAUGAUUUUUAAGCAUUUUUCUACCAUGACUCUAUGGUGUUUUGCUUUACUGUUUACUUUCUAGGGUUUUCAGUUCAUGUAUUCUACGCUUCCUUUAUGUUGUUCUGCUUUUAUUCAUCUUCAUCUGUUAUAUUCCUUAUGCUCUGAUUUGCAAUGGAAACCCUAGUUUUCAGAGGGUUUUUCCAUUGUCUCUCUGUGAAACCUUAGCCGCCUCUAGUUGCUUCCUCGUAUUUUUUGCUACAUGUUAUUCUAAUUGCUUCUAGUUUAUGCAUGUUCAAACCUGUGCAUAUUUUAUAGUACCACUUUCCCCCUUCUCUGAAACCCUAAUUGAUUUCGUACAAUUUGUUUGAUUCUCUAAUUAAGGCUUGUUCUCUGACUAAGUUCAAUACAUCGGUAUCAUGAUUCCUUGAUUUCCUGGGUGAUUACUUGCCUUAUGUCUUUUACCCGUGUGAUUUUCAAAUUCUUCUUAUGAAUUUGCCCUAUAUUCUUUGACUAGUACUCGAUUUCCUUUCCAAAAUUAGACCUGAGCUUAGUUAUUUCUACUCGGUUCCUACCCUAUAUUCGGUGACUAGUACUCGAUUUCCUUUGCAAAGUUAGACCUAUGCUUAGAUACUUCUAGCAGGUUCAUUAAUUAAAGGGAGCCUUCUCCCUGAUUGUUUAGGAUUGGUACUGCUGAAUAUUUUCUUGCCUUAAAGGUUGCAUUCUUUCAAACUAUAAAUAGGCCAAAUCUAUUUGUGUAUUUUAAUUUAAGUUAGCAUGUUUAAUCCCCUUCCCCUUUUCCUUUGUCUGUUCAGUUUAAGCUUUAACAUGUUGAAUCCCUUUCCCCAUUUCCCUUGUCUGUGUGUUUGUCUGUUCAGUUUAAGCUUUAACAUGUUUAAUCCCUUUCCCCAUUUCCUUGUCUGUGUGUAGUUCAGUUGCAACAUAUUUAGUUCUCCAUUUUUCCUUGUCUGUUUUUGUUUUAGUUUUUAGUUCAGCAUGCUCAGUCCUUUCUCUUGGCUGUUUAUUGUUCAUUAUAUAGUUUAAGUUCUUAUACACCACCUUUCCCCUGAAUCCCUUUUAAUUUAGUCUUAUAUACUUAUGUGACUCUUUUUUCCCUGAUCCUUGUUUGAAUGAGAGUGUGUUCUAUAUUAGGGUGGCAUCAUUGUCACUCCUAGUUUAGAACUAAGGUUGUCAACAACCUAUACUCAAACUAAUCACAUCCCCUACCCCCUUAUUAUGUGUUUGAGCCUUGACAAAGGUUUGUUGGUGUCCUAAUCACCAUUCAGGCCCUAGUAUGACUUGUUUACAAGUCUGCUCCUGUUUGUUAACCUUUAUAAGUGGUUAGGGGUGUGCCAGCCUCACUCCAUAGGCUAGGUAUGACCGCCUCCUACAAUGGUCUUCCUCUAAUCUAUCACCUUUACACUUAUUCUUAGUGCUUUAAGUCCUACUUCCCCCUUAGUAAGCCAUGCUUAGGGGACCCCAGAGUCUCCUCUAAACUUGAAUGCUUUUGGGCUAGUAAUUCCACGCUUGCACUACUCUAAAGAGAAAGCCUCGGAUUUGGGAGCCUGGAUUUGGUAAAGGGCGUACGUUGGACAUUAAAGUUGCUUUGCGCUUCUUCGGGCCUGUUGUAGUAUUGAUGUAUUAUUUAUUUCCUUUAAUGUUAUUUUUUUGGUCCAGAUUCUUGUAAAUAACUUGUAAUUAAAGAACUUGGGGAUCUAGUGAAAGAGAAUAUGAGAGGGUUUACCUUUAUUGCGUUAUCUCAUAUAGUUACCAUGGCUAUAGGGCUUUACUUUUUUGCAUCAUCUCAUGUAGAUAUCAUGCUUAUAGGGUUUUACUUCUUGCAUCAAUAUCAUAU
rnacentral:lncRNA from 1 species